GGGAUAACUUGGAGAAAUCCAGGCUAAUACCGCAUAUACCUGCAGGAGCUCCUGCUCCAACAGGGAAAGAUGGCCUCGACCGCAAGGUUGCUAUCGUUUCGGGAGGGAUCUGCGUCCCAUCAGCUAGUUGGUAGGGUCACGGCCUACCAAGGCAUAUGACGGGUAGCUAGCCUUAGAGGGCGGUUAGCCACACUGGAACUGAGACACUGUCCAGACUCCUACGGGAGGCUGCAGUCGAGAAUCUUUGGCAAUGGACGAAAGUCUGACCAUGCGACGCCGCGUGCGGGAUGAAGGCCUUCGGGUUGUAAACCGCUGUCCUGAGGAACGAAGGCCCUUGCUGCGAACAGUGGCAGGGGAUUGACGGUACCUCAGAAGAAAGCCACGGCUAACUCCGUGCCAGCAGCCGCGGUAAUACGGAGGUGGCGAGCGUUACUCGGAUUUACUGGGUGUAAAGGGCACGUAGGCGGUCUGAUAAGCCCCGCUUUAAAGGCUUCGGCUCAACCGGAGCAUGUGGUGGGGGACUGUCAGACUUGAGGACUGGAGAGGCAGGCGGAAUUCCCGGUGUAAGGGUGAAAUCUGUAGAUAUCGGGAGGAACACCAGUGGCGGAGGCGGCCUGCUGGCCAGUUUCUGACGCUGAGGUGCGAAAGGCUAGGGGAGCGAACAGGAUUAGAUACCCUGGUAGUCCUAGCUGUAAACGAUGGACACUAGGUGUUGGUCUCGCAAGGGAUCAGUGCCGCAGGGAACCCGCUAAGUGUCCCACCUGAGGAGUACGGCCGCAAGGUUGAAACUCAAAGGAAUUGACGGGGGCCAGCACAAGCGGUGGAACAUGUGGUUCAAUUCGAUGCUACGCGAAGAACCUUACCCAGGCUUGACAUGCUUGAAGUAGGAACCUGAAAGGGCAACCACUCGUAACCAGUCGAGAGCUUGCACAGGUGCUGCAUGGCUGUCGUCAGCUCGUGCCGUGAGGUGUUGGCUUAAGUGCCACAACGAGCGCAACCAUUGCUAAUAGUUGCCACCAGGGGCCGCAAGGCCUGCUGAGCACUCUAUUGGGACUGCCAGCGAUGAGCUGGAGGAAGGUGGUGAUGACGUCAAGUCCGUACGGCCCUUAUGCCUGGGGCUACACACGUGUUACAAUGGCGUUGACAACGCGCUGCUAACCCGCGAGGGCA
rnacentral:rRNA from 1 species